AUUGAACGCUGGCGGCAGGCUUAACACAUGCAAGUCGAGCGGGGUGAUGGUGCUUGCACUAUCACUUAGCGGCGGACGGGUGAGUAAUGCUUAGGAAUCUGCCUAUUAGUGGGGGACAACAUCUCGAAAGGGAUGCUAAUACCGCAUACGUCCUACGGGAGAAAGCAGGGGAUCACUUGUGACCUUGUGCUAAUAGAUGAGCCUAAGUCGGAUUAGCUAGUUGGUGGGGUAAAGGCCUACCAAGGCGACGAUCUGUAGCGGGUCUGAGAGGAUGAUCCGCCACACUGGGACUGAGACACGGGCCAGACUCCUACGGGAGGCAGCAGUGGGGAAUAUUGGACGAUGGGGGGAACCCUGAUCCAGCCAUGCCGCGUGUGUGAAGAAGGCCUUAUGGUUGUAAAGCACUUUAAGCGAGGAGGAGGCUUACCUAGUUAAUACCUGGGAUAAGUGGACGUUACUCGCAGAAUAAGCACCGGCUAACUCUGUGCCAGCCGCCGCAGUAA
rnacentral:rRNA from 1 species